UAAUACAGAGGUCUCAAGCGUUGUUCGGAAUCACUGGGCGUAAAGGGUGCGUAGGUGGCGUGGAAAGUCAGAUGUGAAAGCCCGGGGCUCAACCUCGGAAUAGCAUCCGAUACUCCCAUGCUAGAGUACUGAAGAGGUGACUAGAAUUCUCGGUGUAGCAGUGAAAUGCGUAGAUAUCGAGAGGAAUACCAACGGCGAAGGCAGGUCACUGGGCAGUUACUGACACUGAGGCACGAAGGCCAGGGGAGCAAACGGGAUUAGAUACCCCGGUAGUCCUGGCAGUAAACGGUGCACGUUUGGUGUGGGCGCAAUCGACCGCGUCCGCGCCGGAGCUAACGCGUUAAACGUGCCGCCUGGGAAGUACGGUCGCAAGAUUAAAACUUAAAUGAAUUGACGG
rnacentral:rRNA from 1 species